GAAUUGGAAUGAUGGUGACUUAAACCCUCACCAGAGUACCAAUUGGAGGGCAAGUCUGGUGCCAGCAGCCGCGGUAAUUCCAGCUCCAAUAGCGUAUAUUAAACUUGUUGCAGUUAAAAAGCUCGUAGUUGAAUUUCAGCGUUUCGCGUGUGCCUCUUUUGGCCCAUCUCGUCUCGCUUUUUUUAUUACUUUGAGAAAAUUAGAGUGUUUCAAGCAGGCUUUUGUCUUGAAUACUUGAGCAUGGAAUAAUAGAGUAGGACCUUGGUUCUAUUUUGUUGGUUUUGUUACCUUGGUAAUGGUUAAUAGGAACGGUUGGGGGCAUUCGUAUUUAACUGUCAGAGGUGAAAUUCUUAGAUUUGUUAAAGACGAACUACUGCGAAAGCAUUUGCCAAGGACGUUUCCAUUAAUCAAGAACGAAAGUUAGGGGAUCGAAGACGAUCAGAUACCGUCGUAGUCCUAACCAU
rnacentral:rRNA from 1 species